CUCAAACCAGUUCAGCGCAAACCACGCCCCUACGCUAAAACCCCACCCCGCAGCUGUGACACGCGCGAUUUCAUUGGGCAACGUUGUUACUUGUCGUCUGAGAAAGAAGUUCAGAGUGCACAUCAAUCAAGUUCGUCUCUAAUGGAUCUAUCGUUGACAAACGGAGAGUAAGUUACGAUUGUAGUCCCAAAGACCAAGCUGCGGAUCUAAAGGUGCCAGCACAAUGUUCAUGUUCGAUCAGGCAUGGCUAGUCAACAACGGCUGUCCAAAAAUAUGCUGUGGGGCAAAAAGGGUUUGCACUUUGGUAAAGACUGUAGACAAAAGGGGAGGAUCAAGUAGGAACAAUGAUCCCCAUAUUCCCACUUACUCAACCUCUGUGCGCUUGUACAAUGUGCAUUGAGGCACAAGGUUGUAGGGGUCACUGUAGUUGCCACCACUGCAAGAGUUAACGCUGUUAAGAUGCCACCAUGUCAGAGCCUGAGCUGCCAGUUGCCACCAGAGCUAUU